GUCAGGAUGGCCAAGCGUUCUAAGGCGCUGCGUUAAGGUCGCAGUCUCCUCUGGAGGCGUGGGUUCAAAUCCCACUUCUGACA
rnacentral:tRNA from 1 species